ensembl:lncRNA
CCUCGUAUCACCCUCCAUCUGUUAAGUGAGAGUAUCUGGCAAGAGAUCGCCUUACCCUGCAGGAGCUGUUGCUGGUGUUAUUAAAAUUUGAGAGGAAAACAAAUGCAGCUCAGUCCCCUGUUUGACAGAUGAUCUUUCAGAGUCUUUCCUGAUUGGACUUCUGACUGGACCAUGAAUAUAGGCUUUGCUUUGAAUGCUGAAAAUGCAAACAGCUAGAUGCAGGCAAAGCUGGACUUUUUCUCAUCUACAUGACCUUGGGGAAGCCAUUUAACAUUUGGGACUCCUUUUCACCCCAGAAGAGAGACUAGUUAGACCUGGCUGAGCAUCUCCCAAACUGACAGGAAUAUCAAGAAAGUAAACAGAGGUUUCCAAAACUGGAAACUGCAAACAUCCAUUGCUUUUCCAGCUUAGGUGUUCUUUCACCUUUAGAAAGAUUGGACGAACAAAAAUUUAGACUUUUUUUUUUUUUGCUGAGAAAGUCAACUGAGUUAGAAGUCAAGAUGCAUCAUAGCCAGAAUACACUCUCCUUUCAUCUUUAUUUCUAUUCUUGUCCAUACAUCCUAUAAAGAAAAUCGAUACAUGGAUUGGACGGAGAAUAUUUUCCUUUGUUCUAAGUGAAUUUCAGCUAAGAACCCUUGCUGUGAGAUUAGGAGUGACUAUGUGAUGUGACUUCCUCAGUUGUGAUGUUUAGAAUGAGCUCUUGUUUAAAAACUUGCUGUCAACUGAGCUUCGAAACUAAAACAAAAGGACUGAAGAAGAAGAAGAGUCUCAAAUACUCACGCAGCCAAAGGACCGUAUCACCCAUGAGUUCAGACCCGCCCAGGCCUACGUGGCACACACUAGGUAUGGUUAUUUUUAGAUGUUGAAGUGGCCUGGAAACUGCAAACUGAGAAAUCUAGAAGAGCCAGUCACUUCAAGAAGCCACACACAUAGCUUUAUUUUUUUUUUGAAACAUCUAAAUUUUGCAGGAUGUCUUCUUACCACUUCAAAUACAUCCCACCUUUUGGUAUUUUUAGCAUCAGGUAUUCAUUUUUUUUUUGGCUUGCUAUAGCUAUCCCUGUGACGAUCUCUGCUCUCACAAGUUUUUCUAUUCAGAAUUCUUGAAUAUUAGUUUCUCCUAAAGCUAUUCCCAGGCCCUUCUAUAUUUAACUCCUCAAGUGAGGCAGAAAACAUCAAAUCUCAAAUUUUUUAAAAAGAAAUCAAAACAUUUAAAACAGGAAACAUUCAUUGUAUCAAAAUUUGGUUACAAAAACACACAUAUAUUUAACAAUUAUAUAUUUUAAUAUAUA